rnacentral:misc_RNA from 1 species
GACCAAAACUGAGGACCCAGGUGGGGUUCAAAGUUUAACACAAAAAUACAUAGGAAGAAAUGUUUAAAAAUCUUAUUUAGACCAAAGCGCACUAGAAAUGUACCUGCAUGGCAUGUUAAUUAUGCUGUAGAGUAUAAGUGUUAGUCUAUUUCAUCGUGAUAGUAUUGUUUUUAAGCAAAAACUGAUUGUUUAUAAUUGAGUUUCAAAAUUAUUUUUGAUGAUUGUUGAUUGUUGUAUUUUGUAGAUCAUGGCAAACACAAAAACAAAAAAAAAACAAAGAAUGACACCUAUGACAUAUGUCCAUUGCGGGUUCGAAAAGAAUCGGAGUGGGAGAAGCACGUCGUUGAGUGUGGUAGAAAACGAGGAAAAAACGAGUUGAGUGCAGUCAUUGUGAAUAUGCAACCAACAAAAAGAACGACAUGAAAAGGCACUGCGGACACGCCAUGGCGGAUACGCUAAAGCUGACAGCUAGAGUAAAGAAGACUGGGAGCAGUUUGAUCCCGGGACUCUCUCGGGUGUUGUGAGUGAAACAGCUUUUAAAACUUCUCCCGGGGUGACAAUGAGGAAUCCAACGACAGCUGAUCCCGUCUACACCCCAGAAGUUGAUGAACAAGCGUCAUAUGAUGCAAGUUGCACCCGCUCCAUUUAAGCAUCCAAUGACAACUUUAAGAGGGAAUGUUCUAUCGGCGACCGGUUCUACUAGUAUACAAGAUUGCAGCAUGCGGGUAUCUCUCUCUUCCAAUGGAGAAAAUAAAAAUACUCAUACUCUUUGUUGUGGACAAAUAGAGCACACUACUCAAACCGAGGGUACAAAAGAAGCGUCUUAAUCGAAUAGUCAGAAAGACUUUUAUAAUUUGUGAAUUUAUAAAGAUUGUACAUUUCCUUUUUUGUUUUCUUUAUUGCUUAUAACAUCGAAAAUGAGAGACGCAUUUCUUGGAGGCGUGGGUAGUGAAGCGGAAGUAGUUAAUAAAAAUCAAUAAUUCCUUUCGGUUCUCUAAAGAAAGUUUUAUGACUUCCUGGUUUGAACUCCCCUUUACUAAAAAUACUCAAACUUCCAUGGUUAAAAGGCUGAUAAAAGAAAAUAUUCGACAUUCUUUGUGCAUAUAUAUGUCUUUUUGUCGGUGUAUACACUUGUCUGUACAUAUGCAUGUUUAUCUACGGUUUAUGACCGUGUUUAUAUCUCUAUCUUCAAUGAAGUGAAUAUGUGAUGUGUAUGCACUGUAACCUUAUAUGAGAAGAUGUGAAUUUGCACAUGAAAGUUUGAAUAAUAAAAAAUAAAAUAAAAUAAAAUUAAAA